UCAGGUUCACUUACUUUUUCUUUUGUUGAUUUCAAAUGCAUACAUAUUAUACUCCCCGGACUUCACUUGUAAGAUUAUAUUGAGGUGUUGUUGUUGUAGACUCAAAGCCAUGUAUGUACAACUGGAGAUGAAAAAAAAUCCUAUCUUUUCUUCAAAGCAAAGAGUCUUUCUUUUUCAAAACCAUACCUGCUGUGGGUAUCCAUAUAUAUAUAUAUGGGGAUAAGGUUGGAAUUAAGUUACAAUUAGAACUUGUGGACCUGUCCUUUCUUGGAAUUUUGGCCAAUAAAAUUCAGAUCUACUCCAAGCCUUUUGUUUUGUAGUAGUUGAAGAUUUUUCUAAUCAUCUAGAAUCAAUGUCCUAUUCCGUAGCUAAAAGGUGAAGUCAUGAAGUUCCAUUUUACUUUACAAAUUUGCCCCCCCACUACAUCUUUUGAUAAUCCUAAGACCUUAUUUAACAUGUAUGGGGCAUUUUGGUCAUGGCAAAAAAUAUUAACCGACAUUCUUUCAUGGCUAGUUGUGGUGUAUUUGUUGAAGAGUUGCUUCAUUUCACUUUCAUUAGCUGUAAAUGAAUAUGUGAACCUGGUUUUACUUGAGAUUUCCAUAAUGAUUUAUUUACUUUGCUUGAAAAAACUUUUGAGUAAACUCAUGUGGCGGCUGCUUUAUUAGGUGCUUAGUAAUUAUCUGUGGGCACCAGCCUUGUAAGAUCAUGCAAGAUUCUCGAACCCUCUAAUCUUAGACCUGCCCUUUAUUUAUUUAUUGAUGUUUUUCUUUUAAUGCCCUAUAGUUUAAUAUUUUAUGAUUGCAACUGCUCCCAACACUUUAACUUUUCUAGGAGAAAAGAUGGUAUUUUUUUAUAAUUUUCUGAAACCACUUGAUGGGGUUUGGGUUGUCUGAAGAUUACUUUCCCAUUUGUAACUGAAAGACAUCUUGGUGCUUAGCUGACUCAUUUUCAUCCUUAAAAAUCAUUUAUUUGUGGAUUCUCUUCUCCUUUGAUACCAAACUCUCAAAAUGGGUUGUUGCCUAGGAACUUGAUCUGUGUUUAUAUAUCAGUUCAUGUAAAAGACUGGAUCUUUCCUGUGAAUCUUAUCAGUGUCAUUGUCGUUGAGGUUCUUUGUUUUCUGAAUUGUGCAGCUCUAUUCAGCAGUGGUAUAGAAUCUGAUCCUUUGCCUAUUCCUUCAUACCAUGGUGGAUGAUAGUGGAACAAAUAUGGUCGAUAUCUUGUCGGUCGAAGAGUGGCUCUCGCGUGCACAAGCGCUUGUGCCUGUUGCACUUGAGAAGGCAAGAGAGGUUAAAGGAUUCCCUGGUAGAUGGAAGAUGAUUAUUUCAAAAUUAGAACAGAUCCCAAACCGGCUCUCCAAUUUAUCUAGUCAUCCUUUCUUCUCAAAGAAUGCUCUUUGUAAGGAGCAGUUACAGACUGUAUUGUGAUUAUUUCAAAAUUGGAACAGAUCCCAAACCGGCUGUCUGAUUUAUCUAGUCACCCUUUCUUCUCAAAGAAUGCUCUUUGCAAGGAGCAGUUACAGACUGUAUUGAAGACAUUAAAUGAAGCUGUUGAAUUGGC
rnacentral:lncRNA from 1 species